rnacentral:rRNA from 1 species
GACGAACCGUGCGAACGUUGUUCGGAAUCACUGGGCUUAAAGGGCGCGUAGGCGGGCCGGACGGUCCGGGGUGAAAUCCCCCCGCUCAACGGGGGAACGGCCUCGGACACCGCCGGUCUCGAGGAAGGUAGGGGCGAGCGGAACGCUGGGUGGAGCGGUGAAAUGCGUUGAUAUCCAGCGGAACUCCGGUGGCGAAGGCGGCUCGCUGGACCUUGAACUGACGCUGAGGCGCGAAAGCCAGGGGAGGCGAACGGG